CCUCUUAAAAACUUGGAAAGAAGUUCAAAAAACCAGAGUAGCAUAUUCCAUUUUCCUAAUUGAAUUAUUGGACUGCAAAACGCUGCAUCUUACUGCAAAAAAUAAAUAUAUUAUUGACAUUUUUAUCUUACAGGACUCGUCUUCAAAUACCUUACAUCCUUACCGAGGUGUGAGAAUAACCUGUACUUUAGCUUAAGUUAGAAGAAAAUCAAAUCAGAUGGACUACUGACAUGGUUGAGAUGGAUUGUUUUUAAGCAUUGAAAAAAUUAACCCAUUUGUUUCCUUCUUUCAUGGCUGAGAGGUCUUUGCUGUUCCCUUGUGCUACUCUGGCAAUCACAAAUAUUUUUUGCAUUGUUUAGUUAUGCUUUUUGAAAGUUUAGAAGUGGAUAUUAAUAGGGAUACCUAAAGAAAAAUGGAUAGACUAUAUCAGUUUUUCACCUCACCACAUUAAAUAAGAAGAAUCACUAAAAUGAAUAUUGUAUUUCAGGCCCAAGAAAUCUUCCAGUCAUGCCGUUGACUCUUUAUUGUGGAUAUUACAAAUGUUUUGACACAUCUUCAGGGUCAGUUUACAAAGAAAACGGAUUCUGCAUCCUCCUCAAAGGUAACUUUGAAGUCAAUGAGGCAAAUGGAUGAAAGAGAGGAGGGAAUGAGACCAUGGUAACAGUAAGAGCCUACUGAAACAAUUCAGGCAAGAGAUGACCAAACUGUGCCUUGUGGUAUUAGUUAGUAGAUAAAAUAAACAGAACAGGAAAUAUCCCCUAGAUAAUUGAAAUGAACACUUUCAAAUAGUUAUUGUAGAAUGACAUGAAAAGUUUACUAUAAGCAGUGUUUGAGAUCUAUAAAAAUUAAAGUUAUUAAACACCAAUAAAGUGAAGGAAUCUGAAACCUUCACGUUUCAUUAUGUGUCUGAAAUUAAAUGAAAAUAUCCUUCCACUUUCAUUUUAUCAGCAAAACAAGAGAUGUAGAGAAGAAUGGUUAUAGCACAAACAUAUUUCUCUAUUGUCUUUUUCCCCCCAAGGACAGUAAAGACACAGUGCUGUGCCCACAUACUUUUGUGUGAUUACAUAUCCUCAAUUUAUACUUAGGACUUUAAACACCAAUGUGCUCAUGGGGUGAAAAAGAACAAGUAGUGAAGCUAUCACUCUGAAUUCCCAGAAUUUUUACUCUGAAAUAUCAGUUAGCAGUCACUUGGCGUGAAUUCUCACUCUAAAACACCAGUUAGUAAUCACUUGGCUUGAAUUCAAUAUAUAUAUUCUAUUGUGUGUUGUGAAAAGCUACAGAUAGGAUUGAUGACUUUUGGUACUAGAGUCAUAAAAAAGUACUCAGUAAUUUAUAUUAUAAGCCCCCUUAUUAAUGGAAGGUUAGGAGAAUGUUGUUUUGACAGUAGAUAAAAGGUAUUUUAGUGUGCAUUUAUGUUGUUCAGUUGGCCAAUAUUUGCUCAUUUGGACUUUUAAAAUAAGGAUAAAGAACAUUUUAAAAGCUAAUGGUGUUCAUAUUUACUAGAAAGAUUGGGAAAUAUAGCAACUAUAAAUAAUAAAAUAUCAUUUAUAAUCCCUCCAUGCAAAUAUAUCCUCAAUUAAUAUUUACAUUAUAGCAUAUUUACUUUUAGUCACAUAUACAUGAAUAUUUAAUAUGCUUGCAAUCACACUGUCUAUAAUAUUGUCUGUUUUGCUUUUAUCAUAUUGUGAGAACACUUCAAAAUUAUAAAAAUCUAUUUGAUUCUCAUUUAAUAGCCAAUUAACAUUCAAAAUUAUGACAUGAGAUUUGGAUAUAUUAAUUUGUAGCUAAGCCUGGAGAUGUUUCCAAAUACUUUUGGUAAUGUAAAAUAGUUCUUUGAGGUUCAUUUUUCUAUGUACAGUUCUCUUCUCAAAUCUCAGAUUAUGUCUUUAAAAUUGAAAUUCUGACAUAAAAUUAAGUGAACUCUUAAAAAUUUCUUGCUGUUUACUCCCAACGGGCAUUCUAGAAAGUCUAUAACAACAUAUAGUCUAACCAAGAGCUUAGUUAAUUGAAAUUAUUAUCUUUCCCUUUUUAUAAUUAUUUGACUCUUAAUACAUUAAUCAUUUAUUCUAUGAAUUGUUAGUUAAUAUCUCCUUAAGUAAUAUUAUCUAAAUGUGCUAAUGCUUUAAUGAUAGGUUGAACCCCAUUUUUACAUUAAAAGUAUUAUCACCUUUUUAUAGAUAAAAUUUCGUAUUGUUUUAACUUCUGAAAAAGAUAGAAGUGGCUGGGCACAGUGGCUCACACCUGUAAUCCCAGCCCUUUGGGAGGCCACGGUGGGCGGAUCACAAGGUCAGGACAUCCGGACCAUCCUGGCCAACAUGGUGAAACCUCGACUCUACUAAAAAUACAAAAAAAGAUUAGCCGAGUGUGGUGGUGGGUGCCUGUAGUCUCAGCUACUCGGGAGGCUGAGGCAGGAGAAUCGCUUGAACUCGGGAGGCGGAGGUUGCAGUGAGCCGAGAUUGCACCACUGCACUGCAGUGAGCUGAGAUCGUUCCACUGCACUCCAGCCUGGGGGCAGACGAAGACUCCGUCUCAAAAGAAAAAAAAAGACGGAAGUAGUUUUUUUCCCUGAAACUUUUGUUCCAAAUGAUAAUACAGUAUAUUUGUUUCAUAGAGAAGUUUGUGAUAUCUGCUUUGUAUUUAAGUUUUAGUAAAUAUAUCAAAAUCUGUUUCUCUAUGUCUGGCCCUGAGUGUAAAUGAUGGAUGGAAAUUAAAUCUAGGUUAGAGUCAAACUCUAUGUAAAAAUCCAGUAUGGUUGAAUUGCUAGAAAUCAUGAGAUUUUUGAUUACUUAUAAAGGCUUUCAAAUUGAUAAAUCGUCUUUUUAUAAAAAGGGUUCAUAGUGUCCCACUUUAUUUUGCUUUCUAUGUGAUAAUUGGCAAAGUACUUUUUCCUCUAUCUCAAGCUGAGUUUUGGGAUCCAGAAUCCAAUCACAAUAUGCAAAUGAAUUUCAAUUACCUACAAGUCUCGGCUAGGCACAGUGGUUUGAAACGGUCAGAAAUUUGGGUUCAGAGAAUCAAAUGUCUCCACAUUUGACAUUGACACUUGGGAAGAAUACCUGGCCAUGGGAAGCAUUGUUGGGCUUGAAUGAAAUGAGUUCAGUCAGUAAUGCCUUCUACUGAUGACCCUUGAGGAAGGAGUCUCCAUGCAGUAAGUAAUUUAUUUCUCCCUUUUGUUUAAGGCCCUCUCCCACCCCCUACUUUGAUGCCUCUCCAAUUUCUGUAUUUCCAGCUAAAUAACCCAAUAGCAAUAUAAUCAUUUACUUCUGAGUAGAAACUGUUUCUUUUAGAAGAGGCAUGCAUGAGCUCUUUUAUUUGCCAGGUUGUGACAGAUAUUCCCUAUUUGCUUCCCUACAUUCACUUUCCGUCCUUCUCUACCUGGGAAGUGUAUCUGCAUGAAUGACAUCAACAAAGCUUCCAUUCUUUUGAUUUCCAUUUGCUUUCAGCCAGUGGAGAAGUAAAAAGCAAUGAAGAGUAGUUAGGAUAUUUAUUUUCCUGGAUGAACCCCAUGUGAAAUCACCAGCCUUAACUGAAGAUUGCCUCAUCUCAAGUGGUGGCUUCUUCUAUGUGAUUCUUGCUCCUUCCUGUUUUCAGUAAACUUUUCCUCCCCUAAUCUCUUCAGUCCUCCAUGUGCUAGUACUGCUACUGCUGCUAGUCCGAGGUUCACUGCAUACUCCUUACCAAUUAGCCAUUAUUUAAUAAUUACUGUUUUCUAUUAAUACUUAGUUUUUUCUUUUUUUGUAGAUAAACCAUAUUAGUUAUCUAUUACUAUGUAACAAAUUACCUUAAAACUUCUGAGUUCAAAACAGAUGAACAAUUAUCUCACAAUUUUCUGUGGGUCAGGAAUUUAGGAGUGGCUUAGCUGUGUAAGGUUGAGAGAGGACUCUCCAUGAAUCCCUCACAUUUCUACAUGUAUUGAGAACCAAGACACUGAUGACCUUUAUUCAAGGCUAUCUUUUCAAAGAUAUUUGUAUAGUGAUCUGCCUUGGAAGAUAGCUAUAAGAUCUCUUACCUGAACCAAGGAUAGCCAUCUUUACUGUCCAGUAUAAAAUAUUUAGGUUUCCUAGGCUCAAGAUUCCUCUCUUAUAAUGCAAUUCAUUGUACGAGGUGUCACCUGGUCCUCUGUGGUGCCUAUGGGAAGUGGGAUUUGAACAUGUGUGAGAACAUGCUAACUCUCUGGCUAUUGUUACUGCUGUGAAUAAAAACUUAUUUGGCUCUGA